rnacentral:rRNA from 1 species
GUAGAGGAUGUUUCGGGCGCGAGGCCGGUCUAAGUCCCUUGGAACGGGGCGUCGUAGAGGGUGAGAAUCCCGUAUGUGACCGGCGAUCAAGCCUCGGUGAAACUCCUUCGACGAGUCGAGUUGUUUGGGAAUGCAGCUCAAAAUGGGUGGUAAAUUUCAUCUAAAGCUAAAUAUUGGCCAGAGACCGAUAGCGCACAAGUAGAGUGAUCGAAAGAUGAAAAGCACUUUGGAAAGAGAGUCAAAAAGUACGUGAAAUUGUUGAAAGGGAAGCGCUUGCAACCAGACCUGCCCGCGGGCGAUCAGCCGUUCCUUCUGGGGCGGUGCACGCGCCCGCGAACAGGCCAGCAUCGGUUCGGGCGGCCGGAUAAAGGCCUGGGGAACGUAGCUCCUCUCGGGGAGUGUUAUAGCCCCUGGUGCAAUGCGGCCCGCCUGGACCGAGGACCGCGCUUCGGCUAGGAUGCUGGCGUAAUGGUUGUAAGCGGCCCGUCUUGAAACACGGACCAAGGAGUCUAACAUCUAUGCGAGUGUUUGGGUGUCAAACCCAUACGCGCAAUGAAAGUGAACGGAGGUAGGAACCCAUUCAGGGCGCACUAUCGACCGAUCCUGAUGUCUUCGGAUGGAUUUGAGUACGAGCAUAGCUGUUGGGACCCGAAAGAUGGUGAACUAUGCCUGAAUAGGGUGAAGCCAGAGGAAACUCUGGUGGAGGCUCGCAGCGGUUCUGACGUGCAAAUCGAUCGUCAAAUUUGGGUAUAGGGGCGAAAGACUAAUCGAACCAU